GAUGAACGCUGGCGGCGUGCCUAAUACAUGCAAGUCGAGCGAACAGACGAGGAGCUUGCUCCUUUGACGUUAGUGGCGGACGGGUGAGUAACACGUGGAUAACCUACCUAUAAGACUGGGAUAACUUCGGGAAACCGGAGCUAAUACCGGAUAACAUGUUGAACCGCAUGGUUCAACAGUGAAAGACGGUCUUGCUGUCACUUAUAGAUGGAUCCGCGCCGCAUUAGCUAGUUGGUAAGGUAACGGCUUACCAAGGCAACGAUGCGUAGCCGACCUGAGAGGGUGAUCGGCCACACUGGAACUGAGACACGGUCCAGACUCCUACGGGAGGCAGCAGUAGGGAAUCUUCCGCAAUGGGCGAAAGCCUGACGGAGCAACGCCGCGUGAGUGAAGAAGGUCUUCGGAUCGUAAAACUCUGUUAUUAGGGAAGAACAAAUGUGUAAGUAACUAUGCACGUCUUGACGGUACCUAAUCAGAAAGCCACGGCUAACUACGUG
rnacentral:rRNA from 1 species